CAAAAGGGUGUUUACCGCUUCGAUGGUACGCGUGCCGGCAACGGCGCGCGGGGUAUGGCUAUCAAGACAUACCCAACACAUAAUUUUUGUUUCAGAGAGGCUGUUGGCUACCCCUUUAUGUACCGGCGCCUCC